GUGAGGAAUAUUGCGCAAUGGAGGCAACUCUGACGCAGCCAUGCCGCGUGAAUGAUGAAGGUCUUAGGAUUGUAAAAUUCUUUCACCGGGGACGAUAAUGACGGUACCCGGAGAAGAAGCUCCGGCUAACUUCGUGCCAGCAGCCGCGGUAAUACGAAGGGGGCUAGCGUUGCUCGGAAUUACUGGGCGUAAAGGGCGCGUAGGCGGACAGCUUAGUCAGAGGUGAAAGCCCAGGGCUCAACCUUGGAAUUGCCUUUGAUACUGGCUGUCUUGAGUUUGGGAGAGGUGAGUGGAACUCCGAGUGUAGAGGUGAAAUUCGUAGAUAUUCGGAAGAACACCAGUGGCGAAGGCGACUCACUGGCCCAAUACUGACGCUGAGGCGCGAAAGCGUGGGGAGCAAACAGGAUUAGAAACCCGGGUAGUCC
rnacentral:rRNA from 1 species